rnacentral:rRNA from 1 species
GACAAUGGGCGCAAGCCUGAUCCAGCAAUGCCGCGUGUGUGAAGAAGGCCUUCGGGUUGUAAAGCACUUUAAGUUGGGAGGAAAAGCUUGGGGUUAAUAGCCUUAAGUGUUGACGUUACCAACAGAAUAAGCACCGGCUAACUCCGUGCCAGCAGCCGCGGUAAUACGGAGGGUCCGAGCGUUAUCCGGAAUCAUUGGGUUUAAAGGGUCCGCAGGCGGCCAGAUAAGUCAGUGGUGAAAUUCCGUGGCUCAACCACGGAACUGCCAUUGAUACUGUUUGGCUUGAAUCAGUUCGAGGAUGCCGGAAUGUGUGGUGUAGCGGUGAAAUGCAUAGAUAUCACACAGAACACCAAUUGCGAAGGCAGGUGUCCAGAACUGUAUUGACGCUGAUGGACGAAAGCGUGGGUAGCGAACAGGAUUAGAUACCCUGGUAGUCCACGCCGUAAACGAUGGUCACUAGCUGUCCGGACUUAGGUCUGGGUGGCCAAGCGAAAGUGAUAAGUGACCCACCUGGGGAGUACGUUCGCAAGAAUGAAACUCAAAGGAAUUGACGGGGGCUCACACAAGCGGUGGAGGAUGUGGCUUAAUUCGAGGCUACGCGAAGAACCUUAUCCUAGACUUGACAUGCUUGAGAAUCCCUAUGAAAGUAGAGAGUGCCCUUCGGGGAGCUCUUGCACAGGUGCUGCAUGGCUGUCGUCAGCUCGUGUCGUGAGAUGUCGGGUUAAGUCCCUUAACGAGCGAAACCCUUAUCUUUAGUUGCCAGCGGGUAAUGCCGGGGACUCUAAAGAGACUGCCGGUGUCAAACCGGAGGAAGGUGGGGAUGACGUCAAGUCCUCAUGGCCUUUAUGUCUAGGGCUGCACACGUCCUACAAUGGCACGGACAAACGGACGCAAUACCGCGAGGUGGAGCAAAUCCUAGAAACCGUGCCUCAGUUCGGAUUGCAGGCUGCAACUCGCCUGCAUGAAGUUGGAAUCGCUAGUAAUCGCGGAUCAGCUACGCCGCGGUGAAUAUGUUCCUGAGCCUUGUACACACCGCCCGUCAAGCCAUGGAAGCUGGGAGUGCCUGAAGUCCGUCGCCGUAAGGAGCGGCCUAGGGUAAGACCGGUAACUGGGGCUAAGUCGUAACAAGGUAGCCGUACCGGAAGGUGCGGCUG